UCUGUUUGUUUCUCAAAAGAGAAUGUUUUGAACCCUUGAUUCAGCUUCCAGUAGAAAUAAGUCAGUAUAAUGUUAAAGAUGAUGGAGUCAAAGGAGCUGGUUACAGAAGCGAUAUCCAGGUACAUUUUCAAGCUCAAUCUAUUCUGAAUUUGCCUUUCAUCAUGUCAAGUAUUACUGUAUUAGCAUGAUGUGACAAAACCCAUUGGAUGAGAUUCAAGAUUAUGAAGAAAACCUACUUUUUGAGUUAGAAAUAUGUGACCUUCGAUGGCAAUAGGUUCAAUUCUCAUUUGUUAGAAAUUUAAAAAACAGUGGGAAAAACCCAUUGUUCAGUCCUUUCAAGAUGAGAGAAUGAAUCGGAAUCACUUCCAUUGAGUAACUGAUUGUUUGUUAGAAUUAUCAAUUGGAUAUGAAAUAGCAUUGCUGACCCUGUUUCUGUUGUUUACAACCAAUAGCAUAGUUUCCAUAGAGGAAAUUAUGUUAAAAUUUUUGGUGCAGGCUGUUACGUUCCAUAAGUGCAAGAACUUGAUGGUGACGAACCUUAUAAUACUUAAUAGUCAACAAAUGCAUAUAGCUUUCACAAACUGUAUCAGGGUCAAGGUAUCUCACCUUGAAGUGAUUGCCCCCAUUUGAAGCCCUAACACUUAUGCAAUCCACAUUAGCCAUUCUACAUAUGUGGAGGUGAAGAGUCUCAUUAUCAAAACAGGUGACGACUGCAUAUCUAUAGCAAGCAAUUCUUCUAGAGUGUGAAUCAUGGAUAUUUCCUGCAAGGCUGGCCAUGGAAUAAGGUAAUGAAUCUGAAAUUAGUGUUAAUUUCCACUCUCUAUCGAGCAGCAUUGGAAGCUUAGGGAAAUAUAAUUCAUGUUCUCAAGUGCAUGACAUUCUGGUUGGAGGAACCUUUUCUGUCUAACACUCAGAACGGAUUGAGGAUCAAAACAUAGCAGACUGCAUCAGUUGAGGUGGGAAAUAUUUCUUUCAUGAGAAUCAAGGGAGCUUCAGCAACUGAAGAAGCAAUAAGAUUUGCCUUGUAGUGACAGUUCUCCGUGGGAAAGGAUACACUAAGAAGAUAUUGGAUUUUUAUCAAUCUGGUGGAAGAAGUGGAACCACAAGUUCUUUUUGCUGGCAAGUUAAAGGUUCAACUUUUGGGCAACUGCUUUCUGGUAACUCGAUGUUUUACUAACUGGUUUAAGCUUUAGAAUGUGGUGUGCGCUUUCAAGUUGCUUGAGCAAUUGUGUUGGCUAUGUCGCAUGUUAUUGCUGGUAUUGUCGUGGGGGAUGAUUCUUUUCCCUUAUUCCUUCUUUUGGUUGAUAGAUUUUUGUCGAGUCCAUUUGUACUUGAUUUCUUUUUCUAAUAAAUUUUAUUUUACUGACAACAAUAAAGAAGGAACACAGAAUGUUCUCUGGCGAACAUGGAAAUCAAA